UAAAACGUCGUGAGACAGUUUUGUCCCUAUCUGCCGUGGGCGUUGGAAGAUUGACGGGGGCUGCUCCUAGUACGAGAGGACCGGAGUGGACUCACCUCUGGUGUACCGGUUGUCACGCCAGUGGCAUCGCCGGGUAGCUACGUGGGGAAAGGAUAACCGCUGAAAGCAUCUAAGCGGGAAACCUGCCGGCAGAUAAGUCCGCCUGGAGGCUUUGACCACCCUGCAGAGCCGUGCGAGGCCAGGACGUUGAUAGGUUGGAUGUGCAAGCGCUGUGAGGCGUUGAGCUGACCAAUACUAAUUGCUCGUGAAGCUUGAUCCU
rnacentral:rRNA from 1 species